rnacentral:lncRNA from 1 species
UCCUGCUUCAUUUUGGUGCCAUAAACAGCUCGGUAAUACCCGAGCUCUGCAGAUCUUUCGUCCCUGUUAUCAGCCUAGCCAAAAAUGGUGCAAAUUUCUGGCUGAAACCACAGUUACUGCAGGUGGCUUUCCAAUUCCGUUCUGUGGCAGCUGUAACAAAACAUUCUGAUUUGAGCUAUAGUUCAAGAAAAGAUGGCAUUAAGAGAUCUAGAUCAGCUAUCAAACAUUAAAGGACUUAAAGCAAAUCACCUUUCUAGUGACCCAUUGAUUACUUGUCAUAUUUAUUGAUUUAAGGACUUCCUCCAUACUUUUAGUUAGGAUCUCACACUGUUAUCCACAAUACAGUGAAUAUCCUCUGUUCCUUUUAAGCCUCUGGGGUCUAGACAUUGUCAUCACCAAACAAUGAUCGAACUGAAGUAAUAAAUUGCAAAUGAUGUUAAGGUAUGAAUUUGCAAGAUUAUUAAUAAAGGCAUGAAGUAAAACAUGGAAAGAGUGGCGACAUGAUUUGUACUAGGUUUCCACCGUUGAUGAUAAUACUUUAAGCCUGAUCGAGGCCAUAUAUUUGCCUUCAGAGAGAGCAAUCUUCACAUUGGCCUAUUAAGCGACGAACGAAGUUUGAUACAUUGCCUACUUCCAUGACCAAAUAACGAAUCAAUAAAAUGCAAUCAAGAUCACAUAUGCGUGAGCAGUUUCCAGAAUUCAUCAGAUAGUGAAUUUCUCUACUUCAUAAAAGUUGGAGAGAAGUAUUACUUUAUUUAAACAAGCGCAGACUUAUA